rnacentral:rRNA from 2 species
GGCCUCCUUGAAAUCACAAACGACUCUCGGCAACGGAUAUCUCGGCUCACGCAUCGAUGAAGAACGUAGCAAAAUGCGAUACUUGGUGUGAAUUGCAGAAUCCCGUGAACCAUCGAGUUUUUGAACGCAAGUUGCGCCCGAAGCCAUCCGGCCGAGGGCACG